AUAUAUAUAUAUGUAUUAAAUAAAUAUUUUAUGAUAUAUAUAUUUGUAGAUGGUACAAGAGUUGACUUCAGAAAUAUUUAACAAAAAAUAUAUAAAAUAUAAAAAUCUAUUUAAUCUUUAGUUAUAUUGACAGUUUCAAUUUAGCAAAUAUAUGAAAAAUAAAAAUAUGUAAUUCUACUACUUGUACGUAAUCACAAGUAUAACAGAUUGUAUUUAAUUGAUCUGAAAAAGCAAUAUAAAGAUGCAGGGGCAUGCCAUUGAGUAAAGAUAAAUUUCUUUGGAUGUGGGGGAAAAGACACACAUGUAUUGAUAAAAUUUCAUUGAUUUGAGGGCGGUUAUUGUGAUUCAAAAAAACUUAUACAUUAAUACUUUAAAAUGUAAUUGAAUAAGAGUGGUAAGCAAGCCAAAGUCGUCCCAAUUCUAUACAUUUUAAAAUCUUUGUCUUUUGUUGUAAACGGGGUGAAGCAAAUAACAACCAUGGCUAUCAAGUUUUUUAUGCAAUAAAAAGUCAUUUAAGGUUGAUAAGUAAGGAAAGAAUUGUAGAGAAUACUUAUUUACAAUAUGGGCUUUUACACUUGUUGGAUGUAUCAUAUGCAUUUUGCUAAAUAUGAGGAUCAACAAGGAAAAAUACAAACAAACAACAGAGAUCCAAAUACAAUUAUAAUAAUAUUAAUGAUAAUAAUGACAAAUGGGUGUUUGUUCUGCAUGUCACACCAGUGCACCUUAAAUAUUUUGCAGAGAUGCAUGGUAAUCUUUAAAUUCUUUAUCACAAGUGCACUAUAUGACAUUGAAUUAAAAUAAAUAGUGUGAUAUCCAAUGCUUGGAAAUAUAGAAGAUAGAUCCUUGAAAUAAAUAAAUAAAAAAUAAAAAAUAAAAAAAAAAAACUCAAAUUGCGAUUUGAAUCAUUGCAAAUAUAAUUGAAAUAAAUUUGUUACUUCAGAGAAUGUUAAAUAAAUAAAUACAUAUGGAUUGAUAGUUUAUUUUCUUUUCUGUUCUUUUCAACAUUUUUUUCACAGUUUUUACAACAUCAUAUAUGUGUUUUCUUGAAAGAUGGCAUGUUUUAUGUACAAAAUUAGAUAUGUAUUUGUGUUCCCACAUGUAAACUAUUUAAAAACAAUUGUUCAUAUGUCGCUCUUACGAAUAAUGCUACAGUGUAAAUCAAGCGUGUAGUUGUGGAGUUUUGUGAAAUAAGCCAACAUUGAGCUCUUAGACAAAAACGAACAUUUUAAAAAUUAUUUACAAGGAAUAAGGUUAGGCCAAAUGGUUGUAUUGCCACAUGUUUUUCAAAAUAACAUUUGUACAUGGUCAAGUCUUAGUAAUUAUGCUCCCUAUCCAUUGUUUGCUUAUUGUCCUAGAGUUUAAAGGCAGCAAGUUUUUUCUUUAUUACAUUUUUUCAAUAUAAGCUACAAAG
rnacentral:lncRNA from 1 species